rnacentral:sRNA from 1 species
AAACCUUUGAAUUGGAAGCUGUAAGAGACGAUGAAGCUGGAGACUCCUUGCCAUUACCACUAGGAAUCGACUUCCUCUUUCUAGAGUUAGAUUUCGUGGUGUGAACUCGAUCCGAAACUGAAUCUGGAUCCAACAAAGAGCUCUUGUUACUCUCCUGCGUUGUUGGUUGUGACCCAAAUUCACGAUCGGAUCCAAAUUGACCUGGAUAUGGAGGGAAUCUGAUUCCACCAGAGAUUGGGAAAUUCUCGGAGAUCUGAGAAUUCAGAGAGAAGGAUUGUAGAGUUAACGGUGAAAUCUCCUGAGGGUUGUUGCAGUAUCUUCCAAGGAAAUCUCCAAUUGUUCCUUCAUUGCCAUUGCCAAAGGGA